GAUGAAGAACGCAGCGAAAUGCGAUAAGUAAUGUGAAUUGCAGAAUUCAGUGAAUCAUCGAAUCUUUGAACGCACAUUGCGCCCGCCAGUAUUCUGGCGGGCAUGCCUGUUCGAGCGUCAUUACAACCCUCAGGCCCCCGGGCCUGGCGUUGGGGAUCGGCGGAAGCCCCCUGCGGGCACAACGCCGUCCCCCAAAUACAGUGGCGGUCCCGCCGCAGCUUCCAUUGCGUAGUAGCUAACACCUCGCAACUGGGGAGCGGCGCGGCCACGCCGUAAAACACCCAACUUCUGAAUGUUGACCUCGAAUCAGGUAGGAAUACCCGCUGAACUUAAGCAUAUCAAUAAGCGGAGGA
rnacentral:misc_RNA from 1 species